AGGGUCGUGCAAAACAUGCGCAAGUUUCAAAAUUACAUUGGUAGGAUGAUGGAAGUACCCUGUAGAACAUUACAGGAUACAUGAAUAAGAAGGAGCAAGGGUUUGUCAAAAUAGAACUUGAAGAGAAGAAAAUUUUCGAAAGAGAGAGGAAGAGAUUGAUUCGAAGGAAGGAGAAAUAAGCCGAUAUCAAAAUACAUUACGGAUUGAAAGGCUCCAGCAUGGGCUCAUUCUUCAGCUCAUUAUUCAGCAACAACCUUCCUCCAAACACCAUGCAAAAUCAUAAGCUUCUGUUAGACGCCAUAGGACGCAAGGACUUACAAUCUUUCGAACAGAUUGUGAAGGAAAUGUUGGAAA